rnacentral:rRNA from 1 species
GGCUCGCGAAUUCGCGCUUGAUAGAUACCGUCGUAGUCCUAACUAUAAACGAUACCAACAAGAGAUUGGUAGUGAAACCAUUUAAUAGAUCCUCUCAGAAUCCAAGGGAAACCUAAAGUCUUUGGGUUCUGGGGGGAGUAUAGUCGCAAGGCCGAAACUUAAAGGAAUUGACGGAAAGGCACCACCAGGAGUGGAGUUUGCGGCUUAAUUCGACUCAACGCGGGAAAACUCACCAGGUCAGGACAGAGGUAUGAUUGACAGGUUGAAAGUCUUUUCUUGAUUCUCUGGAUGGUGGUGCAUGGCCGUUCUUAGUUCGUGGAGUGAUUUGUCUUGUUAAUUCAGUUAACGAACGAGACCUUAACCUACUAACUAGGCUAUAGGCCAGGCUUUCGGGUCUGGUUAGUUUCUUCGGGGUGGUUCGUAUGGGCCAUCUCUUGAAACCUAUAACAUGGGACUUCACUUUCGGGUGGAGUCCUUGCUUCUUAGAGGGACAAUACUUCGUUUAUAUUAGAGUAAGGAAGUUUAAGGCAAUAACAGGUCUGUGAUGCUCUUAGA